UCUAGCGGCGGACGGGUGAGUAACGCGUGGGAACGUGCCCUUUGCUACGGAAUAGUCCCGGGAAACUGGGUUUAAUACCGUAUGUGCCCUCCAUUUUGGUGAUGGUUGGGGAAAGAUUUAUCGGCAAAGGAUCGGCCCGCGUUGGAUUAGGUAGUUGGUGGGGUAAUGGCCUACCAAGCCGACGAUCCAUAGCUGGUUUGAGAGGAUGAUCAGCCACACUGGGACUGAGACACGGCCCAGACUCCUACGGGAGGCAGCAGUGGGGAAUCUUAGACAAUGGGGGCAACCCUGAUCUAGCCAUGCCGCGUGAGUGAUGAAGGCCUUAGGGUUGUAAAGCUCUUUCAGCUGGGAAGAUAAUGACGGUACCAGCAGAAGAAGCCCCGGCUAACUCCGUGCCAGCAGCCGCGGUAAUACGGAGGGGGCUAGCGUUGUUCGGAAUUACUGGGCGUAAAGCGCACGUAGGCGG
rnacentral:rRNA from 1 species